GCUGAACCGGGGCUGAAUGUGAAUUAGCUGCAAGUGUAGACAAGGACGAGCUAAGUUCAGCAGUGUUGCUGCAGCCACCAUGAGACCUGGCUGGAAUAAGGGAUAAACCUGGGGAGCAGAGCAGUGCUCUCAAGCCCGGGCCUGUUUAACCCUUUCAGCCUUCCUGACCUCCACAAGCACAAACAUCAGUUCUCUCUCCAUAUUCUGUCAUUCCCUCUCCAUCAAGGAAGCAAGAAAAACAGCCUUUGACUCCUGUUUGCUCGUGAUGUGCCAUGUGAAACACUCGCCUCUGCCUUAAUACACUGAAAUGCCAGCAGGCUGCUCCAGCCUCCCACUGCUCCCUGCUCCAGCCCCUCCUCUUCUAACAAAACGAUGCUGAUGUCACUUCUCAUCCAUCUCUUCUGCUCAGCCAGACAGGGAACCCAGGGACAGCAGUGCAAGAAGCCUCGCUGUGGUAUUUCCAUCACACACCUGUGCUAAUAAACUGAUGGCACCAU